rnacentral:rRNA from 1 species
GAUGAACGCUGGCGGCAUGCUUUACACAUGCAAGUCGAACGGCAGCGCGGGCUUCGGCCUGGCGGCGAGUGGCGAACGGGUGAGUAAUACAUCGGAACGUGCCCAGUUGUGGGGGAGAGCUCGGCGAAAGCCGGAUUAAUACCGCAUACGACCUGAGGGUGAAAGCGGGGGAUCUUCGGACCUCGCGCUAUUGGAGCGGCCGAUGGCAGAUUAGCUAGUUGGUGGGGUAAAGGCCUACCAAGGCGACGAUCUGUAGCUGGUCUGAGAGGACGACCAGCCACACUGGAACUGAGACACGGCCCAGACUCCUACGGGAGGCAGCAGUGGGGAAUUUUGGACAAUGGGCGAAAGCCUGAUCCAGCAAUGCCGCGUGUGUGAUGAAGGCCUUCGGGUUGUAAAGCACUUUUGGCGGGAAAGAAAAGGACUGUGCCAAUACCACGGUUCGAUGACGGUACCCGAAGAAUAAGCACCGGCUAACUACGUG